CUCAUUCUAAUGUCAAGUUCCUGCCACCACUGCAAAAGUAGGAGAUGCAUGAUUAAUUCAACUUCGAUUUCACGUUUAUCCUAUAACAUUUGAUUAGAAACAGUUAUGGUCAUAUAAAUAUGAUAAAGGAUGAAAGAUAACCUUAUCAACAUAUUCAUUAGAAACAAUAACUGAGACUUGUGAAUGAAGUAAGCAAUCCUAAUGGAAGCUAAAAAACACAGGAAGAAGACAAAGACACAACUAGAAGGUUCAGAAGGAUUAUCUCCAGUUUCAUGUUUUGAAAUACAAAAAAGUAUGUUGGAGCUACUCAGACGUUGAACUCGCUUGACAUGGACUGUUCUAUUUUCACAUCACUCCAUGAAACCAUUUACAAGAAAUUCAAAUUCCUCAUGAGGCACAUUACAAUUCAUUUUUCCUGUUUACCGCCGUUGAUGAUUGUGAAUUACAGCAAUUGAUGUUUCAGUUUCUUCGAUAACUAUCUAUUAUUCAUUGCUAGAAAAAUAUUCCUUUUAAUGUAAACAGUCUGAAUUGGUUUUUUGUAGAAUGAUGACCAUUGUAAUUUGUAUAUAUGGGACGAUGAACUUGACUCACCUAGAGUAAAAAGCUUGCUUCGAAGAAUUGUAGAAAAAAAACUCCAAGGCUGAAGGUGGCUGUAGCAAGUAUCAAAACAUGGGUUCAAUUUCGUCUAACUUUGGCUCCAGCAACACUGAAGUUCCAUCUCCAAAUGUUGAGGGUGUGUGCAAGAAGUGUGUACUGUAGUCUGAAUUUGGAAAGGAGUUAGGCAAGGAGUAUGGGAAGGAAACGGCCUCGAAGAAGCAUAUGAAAACAAUGAAGAAGCUGCAAUAUGAAAGGAAGAAAAAUGCAGGAAUG
rnacentral:lncRNA from 1 species